UACGUAGGGUGCGAGCGUUACUCGGAAUUACUGGGCGUAAAGCGUGCGUAGGUGGUUUGUUAAGUCUGUUGUGAAAGCCCCGGGCUCAACCUGGGAAUGGCAAUGGAUACUGGCAAGCUAGAGUGCGGUAGAGGGUAGUGGAAUUCCCGGUGUAGCGGUGAAAUGCGUAGAGAUCGGGAGGAACACCAGUGGCGAAGGCGGCUACCUGGACCAGCACUGACACUGAGGCACGAAAGCGUGGGGAGCAAACAGG
rnacentral:rRNA from 1 species